rnacentral:rRNA from 1 species
GGGUUGAUAGGCCAGAGGUGGAAGCACGGCAACGUGUGCAGCUGACUGGUACUAAUAGGCCGAGGGCUUGUCUC